AUACUUACCUGACGGGAAAGGCACCUUGAUCAACUAGGAGAUCCUCUCAGGAUGAGGCCCUUUCAUUGCACUUCGACUGGGCGACCCUGCGAUUACCCCUAAUGUGGGUAACUUGAGCAUAUAAUUUCUGAUAGUGGGCACCUGCGUUCGCGCUCAUCCCCU
rnacentral:snRNA from 1 species